rnacentral:rRNA from 1 species
GAUAAACGCUGGCGGCGCACAUAAGACAUGCAAGUUGAACGGACUUAAUCGAAAUAUUUAUAUUUUGAAGCGGUUAGUGGCGGACUGGUGAGUAACGCGUAAGGAACCUGCCUAUUAGAGGGGAAUAACAGUGAGAAAUCAUUGCUAAUACCGCAUAUGCCAUAGAUAUCACAUGAUAACAGUGGGAAAGGAGCAAUCCGCUAAUAGAUGGCCUUGCGUCUGAUUAGAUAGUUGGUGGGGUAACGGCCUACCAAGUCGACGAUCAGUAGCCGGACUGAGAGGUUGGACGGCCACAUUGGGACUGAGCUACGGCCCAGACUCCUACGGGAGGCAGCAGUCGGGAAUAUUGCGCAAUGGAGGAAACUCUGACGCAGUGACGCCGCGUAUAGGAAGAAGGUUUUCGGAUUGUAAACUAUUGUCGUUAGGGAAGAGAAAGGACAGUACCUAAGGAGGAAGCUCCGGCUAACUACGUG